GACGAACGCUGGCGGCGUGCUUAACACAUGCAAGUCGAACGGAAAGGCCCUGCUUUUGUGGGGUGCUCGAGUGGCGAACGGGUGAGUAAAACGUGAGUAACCUGCCCUUGACUUUGGGGUAAAUUCAGGAAACUGGGGCUAAUACCGGAUAUGAGCUCCUGCUGCGUGGUGGGGGUUGGAAAGUUUCGGCGGUUUGGGAUGGACUCGCUGCUUUUCAGCUUGUUGGUGGGGUAGUUGAUUACGAAGGCUGUGACGGGUAGCCUGCCUGAGAGGGUGACCGGCCACCUUGGGACUGCGAUACGGCCCAGACUGCUACGGGAGGCAGCAGUGGGGAAUAUUGCACAAUGGGCGGGAGCGUGAUGCAGCAACGCCGCGUGCGGGAUGACGGCCUUCGGGUUGUAAACCGCUUUCGACGGUGACGAAGCGUGAGUGACGGUAAUGGGUAAAGAAGCACCGGCUAACUACGUG
rnacentral:rRNA from 1 species